CUUAUGAUGUGACUCUUCUGCCCAUGACAGAGCCACCGAAUAUACAUCGACAUAUCUUUGGCCCAUUAUGGUUCAAGGAGUGAGAGCAGAGCCAAGUCUUGGAGAUGCUGAACUUGCUGUCACACUGGAAAACAAGAUGCAUGGGGUAGGGGGCAAGGAUGAGGGGGAAAAGGACCACUCAGAUCAUCCUUAAGACAGACAAGGGAAGGAGUUCCCGUGAUGCUGUCAUUCAGAUGCCCGCCUGGCUGAUCCCCCAGAGGGGACUUGGGCUCCUCUUAGCAUCGACAGGCUGGUAUAAACCCCUGGCUCAGAUCGAGCUAUGCCCGGUGCUGCCUUAAGCCUUAGGAGGUCGCCACGGAACCGCAGAGAUUGUCCAAGAAACCUGAACAACAGAAGGAUGUAAGAUAGACAAGAGAGAAAGAGAGAGAGAGAUCGAGAGUCCGGUCUUCCGGAAACCAAGGCUUAGCUCCCGCCUCCUGGGCCCUGAGCUAAGUCAGUGGAGGGUCCUUGUCAGGACCACUUCCUACCCAAACCAAGAUACAAAAGCACCUACCAGAAAACCAAGGCUCAACCCACUAGUGUCCUAGAGUAACAGGCUGAGUCAAAAGAGGGACGCCCUCAUCAGGGCCACUCCCCUCUUACCAGAAACGAAGUCAAAUCUGACUUACCUGACCCCGGGGUCAGAAGCUGAGGACUCAGAUGUUGAAUUUUAGGGCAAUGACACGGUGGUCGAUCCGCUCUCCUCCGGAAGGCAGUUACUCUUCUGGGACCUUAAAAAUUAUUUCCUCAGGUGGCGCCCCCCAUCCAAGCCAGCCGUCCUUCCGGGGGAGCCCAGAGUGAGACCGGCUCUCACCCAGUGGAGUUAAUUUCUCACUGGGACCUCCAUUAUGUUGUAUCCAAGCGAGUUAAAAAAUAUGCCACACUUUGAGACGAAUUAAGAGUCCUUUAUUAAGCUGGCGGCCAAAGAGAUGGCUAAUGCUGAAAAUUCUCUCGGCCCCGAGGAAGGGGCUUGAUUAACUUUUAUACCUAGGUUUAGGAAGGGGAGGGGGACUCAAAUGCAAUAAUUCUACAGAAGUAAAAACAUGCAAGAAUCAAAAGAAGCAAAAUGGUUACAGAGAGAUAAACCACUUAAAAGACAAAUGGUUACAAGAAGAGCAAAGGUACCAGGUGCAAGGUUCUAAAUCUUUCAUUAUAAUUAGAUAUAGAGUCUAUAGAAGACAUGAACUCAAGGUUUUAUGUUGUUAUCUCUUUGAGAAAAAUCCUGGGAACUUCAUACAUUGUUGGUGUUAGUACCUUAUCAGUUAAUUGGACUCCUUUGAAAUGCUGAGGAUCUGUUUACCCAGGCCAACUCCUUACAAAAGGGGGUUGGGAAAGGAGCCCUUAGUGUCUUGUAAAUUAAGGGGUCAGUUGGAGUUUGUCUGGCCUUCCCAGCUACAGAGAGUCUUAUUUACAUGAGAAGCAAGGAUAGGUGAUUAAAGAGACAAGCAGGACAAAAUUCAAAGUAAUGAGUUAGAGUAAAAACAAGGUUAGGCAUUUCAUUAAUAUCAAAAAAUCUGCUCAUUAUCAGAUACUGAAAGAUAAAGUGAAUGAAUCUGUUUCAGCUUUUCUGGUUAAUUAAACUACCAUCAGAGAAUACUAUAAA